UACGUAGGGUGCAAGCGUUGUCCGGAAUUAUUGGGCGUAAAGAGCUCGUAGGCGGUCUGUCGCGUCGGAUGUGAAAAUCAGGGCUCAACCCUGACCUGCAUUCGAUACGGGCAGACUAGAGUUCGGUAGGGGAGACUGGAAUUCUUGGUGUAGCGGUGAAAAUGCGCAGAUAUCAGGAGGAACACCGGUGGCGAAGGCGGGUCUCUGGGCCGAAACUGACGCUGAGGAGCGAAAGCGUGGGGAGCAAACAGG
rnacentral:rRNA from 1 species